rnacentral:ncRNA from 1 species
AAUUCGUGACAGGGGAGCCGGAUAAGGUAUUUGAGAUACCGAGUCUGGCUGAGAGGCCGAAUGUUCGGCGACCCUUCGAACCUUUAGCAGUGGUAAUGCCUGCAAGGGAGGCACUGGAAUUGAUCA